AUUCAUCUGCUUCCAUUAUUGUAUAUGUCGUUUACUCCACUUUUUCUUUUAUUCCUUUCAUCACAAAUCUUUGCAUUUAGGAGAUAUUAUAUUCCGACCAUGGCGUUAUUAUUAUUGUUAAACAUCAAGGCUUAAGAGAACAGGUAAGAGUUGCAGGUUAAGAUGGCUCAACUACUUGCGACCAGAUGUUAGACGAGGCAACAUCACUCUCGAAGAACAGUUUAUGAUCCUCAAACUCCAUUCUCUCUGGGGCAAUAGGUGGUCGAAGAUUGCACAGUAUCUACCGGGAAGAACAGAUAAUGAAAUAAAGAAUUAUUGGAGAACUCGUGUGCAAAAACAAGCUAAACACCUUAGAUGCGAUGUUAAUAGCAAUCUUUUCAAGGAGACAAUGGAAAAGG